AGACAGGGUCCUGGCUCGCUAGUUGGCAACAGGGAGAAGCAUGCAAGAACAGGGUUUGAAAUGACAUCAGAACCAAGCAAAUGGUGCUGAGAAAAUUGGAUUGAGAUUUACAGAAGAAUGAAACUAGACCCCUAUCUCUCACCAUAUGCAAAAAUUAACUCAAGAUAAAUGAAAGUCUUAAAUAUAAGAUGUGAAACUACAAAAACACUGGAAGAAAACCUUGGGAAAACUCUUCUGGACAUUGGCCUAGGCAAAGAAUUCAUGACUAAGAGGAGCUCAAAAGCACAAGGAACAAAAACAAAAAUAGACAAAUGAGACUUAAACAAAGAAACUUAUGCAGAGCCAAAUAAAUAAUCAACAGAGUAAAUGUACAACCUGCAGAAUGGGAGAAAGAUCCCCACCCCUAGAGGGAGUCUUGCUCUGUUGCCCAGGCUGGAGUGCAGCGGUUUGAUCUUGGCUCACUGCAACCUCUGCCUCCGGGUUCAAGCAAUUCUCCUGCCUCACCCUCCCAAGUAGCUGGGACUACAGUCGUGCGUCACCACGCUCAGCUAAUGUUUGUAUUUUUAGUAGAGACAGGGUUUCACCAUGUUGGCCAGGAUGGUCUCAAUCUCCUGACCUCGUGAUCUGCCCACCUCAGCCUCCCAAAGUGCUGUGAUUACGGGUGUGAGCCACCGCGCCCAGCCAUGCUCUCUUCUUUAUCUCAUCUUUUCAGUCAUUCUACUUGAAAGCAUAGACUAAGUAAUGCCUUCUUAUGGAUGACUUCCUUGAUGUCCCCAAAAAUAAGUCACAUAUUCCUGCCCUGGAACACAAAAUAUAUUUUAUAAAAAUUACUUAAUGGUAGUUCUUUUUGCUUUUCAUUAUGCUUUACAUCUCUUGAAAACACAGAUUAUGCUAGCAAAGCUAGAGAAAUUUUAAACACCUAACAGACAUAUUUCAUAUUAACACACAAAUACACACAUUUAUAUACAAUAAGUAUGUCCUUUAAGAGAUUGCUGAGUUUUAGACUUAAUCUUCAACUUAUGUACAUACACAUAUCACAUAUACAAAUAAAAGUGUAUAUGUGAGUGUAAAUAUAUAUAAUUGUAUAUGUUUAUAUAUAAUUUACACACACAAACACACCUGCAUCCUGAGUAGAAAACCAAAUCCACUUGACAAAUGUAAAUAAUGUCUUCUUAUUUAACUAACUUUUCAAGGUGUAUCUUACUUUCUAAAGCCAGAAUAUUUUGAAACAAAAGCUGUUUUUCUUCUUGAAGAGACAGAUUUAUAAGUUUAUAUUCUAGAAAAUUUUUCUCUAUUUGAUUUAUCUGGAUGCAAACCAGUUUGCUCUGGGGUUUCAGAACAUCAAAAAUUUUAUUUUCCUUAUGGGCUGAAAGUUCAUGGGGAUGAUAAGCAUUCUAUCUCUUUUAUUGAUUUUAUGAUAAACAGUCCAAUUUACCAUACUUUCUCCAAAUAGUCAUGCUAUCCCUUUAGGCACUGUGCCUUCUAAUUGUUAAGAAUGCUGACCUUAUCCAACAUAUUUUGGAGGACCAUAAGAGUUUGUGAAACCAUUUCAUUAUGAAAAAUAGUUAAAAUAACUUACCUACUUAGAUUGAAGAGUAGAAAACUGAAAAAAUGCAUUUAUUCUGAAUAAAAUAAUGGAGUAUAAAGUAAUAAAUCUGCAUGCAGUGGACUAGCUGAGUUCCACAGCCCAGUAGCUUAAUGUUCUAAACACAUAUAACUUUAUUGCAUUAUUGUUAAAUUGCUGGCUUUUAGAAAUCAUAACCUAAAUUAAGCAUAGUAACAUUUUUAAAUUGUUCACAAUGAAUUUCUCUUAAAAAUCAAUUUUGUAUUUUUUUCACCAUGAAGGGGACUCAAUAAUCUAGCCCUACAUUGCCUAAUGAAUUUUAUUUAUGCUUCCGUUCUUGAAUAAAACUACUUCGCUGGACACUUAUUCAGGUAAAUUGCCUCAAUGUACCCUGAAUCGAUUAAGAAACUCACUGCUAUAUUUGUUUAAAGAUGAUUUUUGCAAGAUACUGUGCUAGAUAAUGCAGCCAAUACAACACAAUCAUACUGCAAUACAGGGUCUUAGAGACUACUAUAAGAGAUAAAUCAGUGUUUUGAGAUAGGCAUAAAGAAAGUAUUUGGACUUCUUUCAACGAUUUAAACCUCACUUUGGCUCUCACACAGUAAUUAUAUAAUUACAGGAAAUAAACAAAUAAAUAAAUGUAUAACCAUAUGUGAAAACAGAAAAGGUUAGGUAAAUGUAUGAAAAAUCCCAGAAAGAUAUUUAAAGAAUUAGGAAACUGCAAAUGAAAGGGGCAAUUGUGGAGAGCAUUGCAAGUAAGCAAGGUGGCUGGAUAUAAUAUCAAAAUAUAAAAUAGUUUUUCUAGAGAGCAGCAAUAAUUAAACAUUUAAAAGGUAAUAAUGUAAUAAUAAAUAUCAUUUGCAAAAGCAUCAAGACAUUUAAAAACAGUAAAGUAUCUAGGAAGAAACAUAACAAAAUGGAUAAGAAAUUUAUGGGAAAAACUAUAAAACUCUACUGUUAUUAUUAUUAUUAUCAUUAUUAUUAUUAUUGUUAGAGACAGGGUCUCACUCUGUUGCUCAGGCUGGAAUGCAGUGGUGAGAGCACGUCUCACUGCAGCCUCAAUUUCCUGGGCUCAAAUAAUCCUCUCGACACAGCCUCCUGAGUAGCUGGGACUACAGGCAUGUGGCAUCACACCUGGCUAAUUGUUUAACACUUUGUAGAGACAGGGUUUCACUGUGUUGCCCAGUCUGGUCUCAAACUCUUGGCCUGAAGCGAUGCCCCCACCUCAGCCUCCCAAAAUGCUGGGAUUACAGGUGUGAGCCAUGGCACUCAACCUAUAAAACACUAUUUAGGGGCACACAAGGAGACGUACCUAAAUAGACAAGUUUAUGUUUGUAUAUGAGAAAAUGUACUAUUAUAAAAACAUCUUUUCUACCAAAUUAAUCAGUAAAUUAAUUGCAAUCUCCAUUACAUUUCCAGCAGAAUUUCUUACCGAAUUUGACAAGCUAGUUAUAAAUUUCAUAUGGAAAAACAAGUGUGCAAAAAUAGCCAGAACAAUUUUGUAACAAAAGAACAAAGAGAAGUAACUUCUUCCUUACCCCUAGGUUUGAUACAUUUUUAUGAGGCAUAGUAAUUUCAACAGUAAUGAUACUAAUUCAGAAGUAGACAUAUAGAUCAGUGGUACAGAAGAACAGAUCCAGAAUCAGAUCUGAGAAUAUGGGAAUUUAGCAUUUGAUAAGCAUAACAUUUUAAAUUGACAGGGAAAAGGCAAACAUUUCAAAAGUAUCAGGACAAAUGACUAAACACGUGCAAAAAUUAAGUUAGAUUCACACCUAACACUUCUCAUAAAUGUAA
rnacentral:lncRNA from 1 species